UACAGAGACUGCAAGCGUUAUUCGGAUUCACUGGGCGUAAAGGGUGCGCAGGCGGUCGGGUGUGUCAGAUGUGAAAUCCCGAGGCUCAACCUCGGAACUGCGUCUGAAACUACUCGACUAGAGUACUGGAGAGGGUAACGGAAUUCACGGUGUAGCAGUGAAAUGCGUAGAUAUUGGGAGGAACACCUGCGGCGAAGGCGGCUACCUGGACAGAAACUGACGCUGAGGCGCGAAAGCUAGGGGAGCGAACGGG
rnacentral:rRNA from 1 species